AGAGAGAUAGGCCUGGCUGCAGGGAGCUAGAGACAAAGUACCUGAGUGAAGCAGGGCUGGGGAGCUCUAGCCUGGAAAGCCCCAGGCUGUGGCCUAGCAGAAGGCCAGAAUUUAGGUCUUGCCUCUUAACCACCAAGCCAUCUGUCAUAGAAGGAGUAAGGCCCGGAUCCUCAAAGGGGAGAAGUUGUCGCACUGACCCAAGCUCCAUCUUCAGCCAAGGACUCUUGAGAAGGAACUGAAGGGAUCGGGCCGUGCGCAUGCUGAACGAGACUCCAAUGGUGCCACGAGACAGCUACGGUGCACGCAUAGCCUGACCAGGCACUGCUUCCAAAAAUUCUGAUCAACAGCACCAGGAUGCACUGUCAUCUGAAGUGGAGCACCUAUAGGAACAGCACUCAAAGAAGAAAGGUGCCUUCCUGAUGAUUCAUGGGGCAGCACCUGAUGUGCUUUGCACCAUAUACCAGGCACAUGAAGCACCACUUAAAAAGUUAAUACAUUAUACCUGUCGAAUUUUAGGAAUCUAUAGUUUUCUGUCCGGCUUAGAGAGGCAUCAUCCCAUGUAACCAGUUUGCAUUCUAUAACACUAUAGAAAAUCCAGAGAAAUGCAUUAAGAAUUUUAGCAAUACUAUCAGACGCUCUAGAUUUUUAUCAAAACCAAAGGCUAAUCAGAUCAAAUAGACAAUAUCCUCCAGAGCUAAAAUACUUAAUUUGUUUUUGAAUUUACAACCACUCCCCUGGAAAGUUAAAGUGGAGAAGAACUAGCAGCUGCUGUCAAAUGUUCUUAAUGACCACUUUGUUUCUGCAGUGAUAAAGGUGGAGGUGGAACGGAUGCCAGAGGACAGCCAAUAUUUGUUCACAAACGUAUAUGAAGUUUGAUAAACGUACAGAGAACUGGCACAUUAGAAUUAUGGUGGACUACAUCUAUCAUCAUCCAAAAUAAGCCUAGAUUUGUCAGACACAUGCUGCUGGGCAUAGGACCUAUGGAACUCCCGUUGUUUUCAACAAGUGCUGGAUCAGACAUAUAAUGCUUACCAAUGUGACCACUCCCAUGGAAAUCAAUGGGCCUGAAUCCUCUCUCACUUAGAUCGGUUUUACACUGAUGUAUCUCCAUUGACUAACAGAAUUACUUCUGAUU